GAAAUAGAUUGUUAUGCGAGCCGAUCCGUCUUCCACCCUUGGCGACUCUUCCUCCUCCUCCGGACCUCUCGCCACCGUCGCCCUCCUCCUCGCACGCCUUCGACUUCGCCUUCGUCUUCGUCUUCGUCAUGCCCUCCGCUGGAAGAUCUCUCGCCGGUAGUGCCUCUCGGGAUUCGUCCAGUCGUCGGACGUCUUCGUCAUGUGCCAAGGUCUAAGCAAACCCUAACGUGUUCUUGGCUCCGUUCCCUUCUUCAUCGAACAUUUUCUUGGAUCCAUAGAACGAACUCGAGUACGGGGCGUCAAUGCGAGUUCGAAGAUUGGGCAUGGCGUUCCAACAUCCACGUCCUCUUCAUCCACCAGGGCACGAACUCGUAUAUCUGGGAUCGUGCGAGAUCCAAGAUUGGACAUGUUCCAAGAUCAAUGUCGUCUUCAGGUCCAAACCCUAACGCGUUCUGGUCCGGUCCCUUUCUACACCGGACCUUUCCUGGAUGCAGAGGAGGAAAGGUUUCAGCCCGAGUGUUGGUACGACCUGGACCAAGUGCCGGGCAUCAGUACAAGUUCUUGGGCCGUAACCCGAACGCGUUCGUGGGCGGGUUCCCUUCUUCACCAUCAACCUUCUCUUGGAUGCCGGGAACCCAAUCCGUGUUGCUACGCCCUUGACGAAGCAGCGGGUGUAGUAUCGGAAAUCAGACCAUCAUGCUUGAUCUCUCCCAAAUGGAGACACAUUCAUUGAUCCAACAUUCGCCGACACCGACAUUCUGCUUUGAUCAUAAAUGGAGACACCCAUUAUCCGGUAAUGUAUCUAUUCAGGGAUCCUCUCCAUUUUCAUAUUGCUGCACGCUAUGAUAUGAACGUACAAUUGGAGUUGCAAACUUGUCAUGGUCGAAAAAUGGGUCAUAUUUUAGCCUUAAAGAUUAGGGUCGGUUGAAGUCCAACUAUAAUGCAGAUUGUUUCUUUAUUGCAUGAUGUUACGAGAGCACUUGGCAGCGGUUAGAUGGUGAUGUUAGUUUGACUAAUAACAUAACCUAGCGAUAGAGACUGUUGGAAUGAUUAAUUGUUACAACGUAAAUUAUCAUCAUAAUGGUUUUCGGUAGCUUUAAAGAACAGAGCUUAUUGAAGCAGUGCGUUGAGGACUAAAUUAUUCUUGAAUCAUUUACUUUCGUUUAUUCAACAUUUGGUGAAAUGGAAUCACCCAUGAUUUGGUAACACGUUCAAAGAUACUUUAAUUCCUACAUUGCUAAUUGUACAUUGGUGUUAUGUAUUCGACUUGGCCAAAAGCAUUAAAGAAUAGGGUUUCUUGAAGCUCAACAAUCGUAUAGAUUGUUUCU